GUGUGGUAACUCUAUUAAAUAUUGGAUAAUUCCGCAAGCGCACAGAAGGUACCGCUGUAGCACUUCACCCGGGAGUAUUCCAAGGUAUCGUAAUUUAUAUUUUCCCAAGGGAAAGCAAUAGCUAGAAAUGCUUGUAAGAAAAGAGAUCAUAUCUCAACUUAGUUACAACUAGUGCAGAGAGGUGGUAACGAAAGGUGAAGGAAGGGAUGAUGAUGAUCCAGAGAUAAUCAAAAAGGAUAACUACA
rnacentral:lncRNA from 1 species